rnacentral:rRNA from 1 species
GAUGAACGCUGGCGGCGUGCUUAACACAUGCAAGUCGAACGAGGUCCAACCUUCGGGUGAAGACCUAGUGGCGAACGGGUGAGUAACACGUGGGCAAUCUGCCCUCCACUCUGGGAUAACCCUCGGAAACGAGAGCUAAUGCCGGAUACUCCGUCGAGGUCGCAUGGCCAUGACGGGAAAGCUCCGGCGGUGGAGGAUGAGCCCGCGGCCCAUUAGCUUGUUGGCGGGGUAACGGCCCACCAAGGCGACGAUGGGUAGCCGAGCUGAGAGGCUGAUCGGCCACACUGGGACUGAGACACGGCCCAGACUCCUACGGGAGGCAGCAGUGGGGAAUCUUGCGCAAUGGGCGAAAGCCUGACGCAGCAACGCCGCGUGCGGGAUGAAGGCUCUCGGGUCGUAAACCGCUUUCAGCAGGGACGAAACUGACUGUACCUGCAGAAGAAGCCCCGGCUAAAUACGUGCCAGCCGCCGCUGUAAAAC